AAGUCAUAACAAGGUUUCCGUAGGUGAACCUGCGGAAGGAUCAUUAAUGAUGCCCUCGAAGUCCUUGGACUGGUAGGGUUUGUGUCGGUCUCUUCGGAGUCGACCUUAUCUCACACACCGUGAACUGUGGCUUCGGCCAUUUACACAAACUGUUAGUAAUGAAUGUAACAUCAUAACAAACAUAAAACUUUUAACAACGGAUCUCUUGGCUCUC
rnacentral:misc_RNA from 1 species